AAGAUCAACUUUGAUGGUGGGAGACAGAAACAAAAUUCGGAAUAUACAGUUCUAAGAGAAAGAAAGAAAGAAGAAAAAAAGAACAGUCAAUUGAUUAGACCUUCCAUGAGGCGUCUCCAAAGAACAAACAAAAUCAGUUAAAACCAAACUAUCAUCUCAUCAUGGCCUCCCCCUUUCCCUUUCCGUGCACUCAUCAUACCGGCAGCAGCAAACAAGACAAAUCCCAACAGCAACUAACCGGUCAAACAAGAGUCAAAUUACCCACAAGAUCUCCCCAGCUCGCCGCUCCACCCUUGCGGCGCCGCCGUCGUCUUCCGCCCCAGCGACGACCUCGUCCUCGCCGCCAUGGCGUCCUUCGCCGCCGCGUCCUUCUUGUCCUUGAAGAACCCGAACACCGGCCGCGAGCACACCGGCACGUUCAGCACCACCGGCGCCACGCGGACGCCGGAGGAGUAUGACCGGUCGACGGCGCGGGAGCGUGGCUUCGCCGCGGCGUGGAGGGUGCACGGUGAGCUGGAGCUGCGCUCCAGGCCCUGGAACACGAUCUUGCCGGAGGAGUUCAUGCGCGGGGAGUCGACGGAGAGGCAGCGCGGCGGCGGCGGCGGGGAGGGGCGGCGGCGCGCGGGGCUUCGGCCGGCGCGGGAUGAGGAGGAUGAGGAGGUGGAGUGGCGGUGGGAGGAACGGACGAGGCGGAUGCGGGGCGGGUUGGGGUCAGCGGCGGAGUCGAGGGAGAGGCGCGGGAUGUCGUCGUGGUCGUGGCCGGAGGAAGACGACGACGACGAGAGGGAGAAGCGGGAGGAGGCGAGGGAGAGAGACGCCUCCGAGUCGGAGCUGUCGCGGAGGAGCGGCGCAGAGGCGAGCUCCGACGCGGAGGCCCCGGACGAGCGGCCGUUGUUCCGUUGGAGCAGCAACUUCAGCGACCUCGCCGCCGUCGAGUUCAUCGCUCUCCCGGGGGUUCUCGCGGGCGCAGACGACGGCGAUGGCUUCGGGCUCUGCGCUGCCGCUCUCUUCAGCCCGAGCAACUCCCGCCACCGGCUCGAGCAGCUGGGCGCCUUAGGAGAGAAAACGUACGGGUCGGCGGCGUCAACCGCGGCGGCAGCCGCCCGUAGUGGCUUCAUCGGCUCCGAAGGCGCCGGCAUUGCCUCAGGCUGCGGCGGCCGUGGCGCCGCCGCAUCCAUCUCCGGCACAGCCGCCGCCUUCCGAAGCGGGAGCAGCUUCCCGUCGGCAAAGAGCUCGUCCGCCGGGAGCAUGGUGGCGGAGCCCCCGAGGCUGAACUCGAAGUCGAUGAAGUCCUUGGAUAUCGCCGGCUCCGGCGUCGUCGUCGUCGCCACCGCCGCCGCGGCGGCCAGGGGCGAAGAACACACGACCACCGCGGCAGCCUCCUCAGCCCCGGCGGCGUCGCGGCUGAACGAGACACGCGGACCAUGCCAUCCACCGAACGGCAUGACAGCCGCGGGCGCAGCUGCAGGCAAGUUACUCGCGACGGCGGAGGCCAUGGCAGGCGGCGGCUAA
rnacentral:lncRNA from 1 species